rnacentral:rRNA from 1 species
GAUGAACGCUGGCGGCGUGCCUAAUACAUGCAAGUCGAGCGAAUGGAUUAAGAGCUUGCUCUUAUGAAGUUAGCGGCGGACGGGUGAGUAACACGUGGGUAACCUGCCCAUAAGACUGGGAUAACUCCGGGAAACCGGGGCUAAUACCGGACAACAUUUUGAACCGCAUGGUUCGAAAUUGAAAGGCGGCUUCGGCUGUCACUUAUGGAUGGACCCGCGUCGCAUUAGCUAGUUGGUGAGGUAACGGCUAACCAAGGCAACGACGCGUAGCCGACCUGAGAGGGUGAUCGGCCCCACUGGGCCUGAGACACGGCCCAGACUCCUACGGGAGGCAGCAGUAGUGAAUCUUCCGCAAUGAACGAAAGUCUGACGGAGCAACUCCGCGUGAGUGAUGAAGGCUUUCGGGCCGUAAAACUCUGUUGUUAGGGAAGAACAAGUGCUAGUUGAAUAAGCUGGCACCUUGACGGUACCUAACCAGAAAGCCACGGCUAACUACGUGCCAGCAGCCGCCGUAA